GUUCGGGCGGGGAGCAUCCCCUUGACGUGGGGAGGGUCAGAGGUUCAAAUCCUCUAUCGCGCACCA
rnacentral:tRNA from 2 species